AUGCAUCGACCAGAUGCAGAGGCCAGGGGUCAUCCUCCUUUUCUAAAAAAAAACUUGGCGCUCUUGGCACACUAAGCAUGGCGCUUCCUUCAGGAUCCCAACUCUCUAAGUGCUCGUAUUCUCAAAGAUGUGUAUUAUCAUUCGAGCUCGAUCCUAGAAGCGGAAUUAGGGAAAUCUCCAUCGCAAGUAUGGCGAUCUAUUUUGGAGGGGAGAGAUACCCUCAAGCUUGGUCUCAUCAAGAGGAUUGGCAAUGGUGACGACACACAUAUCUGGCAUGAUAAUUGGAUUCCUUGUGAUUUUAUGCUUCGCCCGGUAUGUCCUAAAUUCCCUACUACUCCUCAAAUGGUGUCGGAGUUAAUUGGUCAUACAUUGGCUACAUGGGAUCUUGGUGCCCUGAACGAGCACUUCUAUGAUAUGUACAAGAUGGCGAAUCUUACUAUUCCCCUUAGCUCAACGGUGUAA
rnacentral:rRNA from 1 species